rnacentral:rRNA from 1 species
ACGUAGGGGGCGAGCGUUGUUCGGAAUUACUGGGCGUAAAGGGCAUGUAGGCGGUUAUGUAAGCCUGGCGUGAAAUUCCACAGCUUAACUGUGGGAUUGCGUGGGGAACUAGAUGACUAGAGGUACGGAGAGGGUACUAGAAUUCCUGGGGUAGGGGUGAAAUCUUUAGAGCCCGGGAGGAAUACCGAUGGCGAAGGCGACUAACUGGACGGUGCCUGACGCUGAGGUGCGAAAGUGAGGGGAGCGAACAG